UUGUGGCUCAACCACAAGCGGUCAUUGGAAACUGGAGAACUUGAGUACAGAAGAGGAGAGUGGAAUUCCACGUGUAGCGGUGAAAUGCGUAGAUAUGUGGAGGAACACCAGUGGCGAAGGCGACUCUCUGGUCUGUAACUGACGCUGAGGCGCGAAAGCGUGGGGAGCGAACAGGAUUAGAUACCUUGGUAGUCCACGCCGUAAACGAUGAGUGCUAGGUGUUAGGGGGUUUCCGCUCCUUAGUGCUGCAGUUAACGCAUUAAGCACUCCGCCUGGGGAGUACGGCCGCAAGGCUGAAACUCAAAAGAAUUGACGGGGACCCGCACAAGCGGUGGAGCAUGUGGUUUAAUUCGAAGCAACGCGAAGAACCUUACCAGGUCUUGACAUCCGCUGACAAUCCUAGAGAUAGGACUUUCCCUUCGGGGACAGCGUGACAGGUGGUGCAUGGUUGUCGUCAGCUCGUGUCGUGAGAUGUUGGGUUAAGUCCCGCAACGAGCGCAA
rnacentral:rRNA from 1 species